UCCUGGUUAGCUCAAUUGGUAGAGCGCUCCACUGGGAAUGUAGAGGUCCCUGGUUCGAUAACAGGACCAGGCG
rfam:Ixodes scapularis strain Wikel colony gcontig_1107729205052, whole genome shotgun sequence.